rnacentral:lncRNA from 1 species
GAAGGAACAACUACUUCAGAGUUCUAUAGGCAUGUGUAGCGAAAACGCAAAACUUUUACACUGUUAUCCAAUCUUAAAAGCUAACAUAUUUGACAUACAUUAUUAUUGUGAUAAAUGAAGGUAUAAUAAUAAGAAAAAAUAACUAUCAUUUAUUCUUUAUGUCAAUAUUUGCAUGAUAAAUAACGACAUUAUGGGGCUACUGUAGGGAUAAUAGAAAGAAUGUUAGAGUGAGAGAGAUCAAAGAGAAAUGAAGGAUGAGAGAGAGGUUACUAAUGUCUUGUUCACUUGAGUGGAUUAGGGGAAGAGUAUUUGAGAGGAUUUGAAGAUAAAUUUUGUUGUUUGAAUAGAUUUGGAGAUAAGUGAGAGUGAAUUUGGAAGUAAAUUUUUUUAAUCUGUAGCAUAAAUUAAAUCCUACACUAAUUCUCAUAAAAUUUACCUCUAAAUCCACUCUCGUUUACCUCCAAAUUCACUCAAAUAAAGAACAAAAAUUACAUUCAAAUUCUCUCAAAUCCAC